rnacentral:rRNA from 1 species
AUUGAACGCGGGCGGCAGGCCUAACACAUGCAAGUCGAACGGCAGCACAGAAGAGCUUGCUCUUUGGGUGGCGAGUGGCGGACGGGUGAGUAAUGUCUGGGAAACUGCCCGAUGGAGGGGGAUAACUACUGGAAGCGGUAGCUAAUACCGCAUAACGUCGCAAGACCAAAGUGGGGGACCUUCGGGCCUCACACCAUCGGAUGUGCCCAGAUGGGAUUAGCUAGUAGGUGGGGUAAUGGCUCACCUAGGCGACGAUCCCUAGCUGGUCUGAGGGGAUGACCAGCCACACUGCAACUGAGACACGGUCCAGACUCCUACGGGAGGCAGCAGUGGGGAAUAUUGCACAAUGGGCGCAAGCCUGAUGCAGCCAUGCCGCGUGUAUGAAGAAGGCCUUCGGGUUGUAAAGUACUUUCAGCGGGGAGAAAGGCGGUGAGGUUAAUAACCUUGCCGAUUGACGUUACCCGCAGAAGAAGCACCGGCUAACUCCGUGCCAGCCGCCGCAGUAA